CCUACGGGAGGCAGCAGUGGGGAAUAUUGCGCAAUGGGCGAAAGCCUGACGCAGCGACGCCGCGUGAGGGAUGAAGGUCUUCGGAUCGUAAACCUCUGUCAGCAGGGAAGAACGGUCACUGUGCUAAUCAGCAGUGAAUUGACGGUACCUGCAAAGGAAGCACCGGCUAACUCCGUGCCAGCAGCCGCGGUAAUACGGAGGGUGCGAGCGUUAAUCGGAAUUACUGGGCGUAAAGCGCUCGUAGGCGGUAUGUCAAGUCAAGGGUGAAAUCCCCGCGCUCAACGUGGGAACUGCCUUUGAAACUGGCAGACUGGAGUGUGUGAGAGGGUAGUGGAAUUCCAGGUGUAGGAGUGAAAUCCGUAGAUAUCGGGAGGAACAUCAGUGGCGAAGGCGACUAUCUGGCACAUAACUGACGCUGAGGAGCGAAAGCGUGGGUAGCGAACAGGAUUAGAUACCCUUGUAGUC
rnacentral:rRNA from 1 species